GAGGAUGCUGGUUGUUGCUUCAGUAACAGAAUGGGAACCAGAUGUGGAGCAUUGAGAAGAACAUUUCUCCAGGUGGUAUUCUACAAGAAAGGAAUCAUGACUUGCAGCUUGUGAAUCAUUACAGGAUAGUUCCCAGGCUGUUGACAGAACACAUUGAAGAACAGGGCUUACAUUCAGGGAUGAAUCUACGUAGCCUUGUAAGUGCCUGGCCGGUGCAUAGCCCAAUGACCAUAUGCAGU